GUGUUUUUCACCUCUAGUUGGCUCAGCUUUGUUAUUGUACUUUGUUCAAAAUGGAGCCAUCUAAAGUGCCAAGUCACUUUUCAAGUCAAGUGGUCCAGUAUCCGUCUCUGUCCAGACACGUGUUCCUGUAUCCGUCUUUCCCCAGACACAUGGUCCAGUAUCCGUUUUUGCCCAGACACGUGGUCCAGUACCCAUUUCUGCGGAGACAGGGGGCCCAGUAUUCGUCUCAGCCCAGACAGGGGGCUCAGUAUUCUCCUCAGCCCAGACAGGGGGCCCAGUAUUCUUCUGUGCAGAGACAGAUGGUCCAGUAUCCGUCUCUGCCUCCGUCAUGGCCAUUAAUCAAGCCUUAUGUGGACUGUGGGGAUAAGUGGCAAUCCAAGAUCUUUGCAGACCAUUGGCUGGGCAGAUGCUAUCGUUUCCAGUCGUCGUGCCCCUUGAUACAUCCGUAUGUGUGUGAUAUGGGAAAAAGGCCUCCCUCCACAGUAUGAUCCGGUGCCCGACAACAACUUCGACACUCCAGACCCUCCAGUUGACACGGACAGCGACUCGGAUGGGUCUAGCGUUAGCCAAACGAAGCCAUCGAAGUUAGAGUAUUUACGAUAUCGUGAGCGUCGAUGUAGCGGAAUGCUGGCGAGGGAGGUCUCCACAGUGUGAUGUGUUUGUCAACGCAUACAUUGUUUUCGUUUCAAACAAAAUAUCAGCUUUUUGUCUAUCACAAUGCAUAUACAAAACUAACAUAGUCUCGUUAUCAAAAGCACAUGUCACGGAAAUGCACAUAUGUACACCAUGUUCAUGUUUUUGUGGCUUACAAUGCAUACAAUGUUCUGGUUUUUGAGUACAAUGAUCAGGUUUUUGCAUACAAUGUUCGCGUUUUUUGUUGAUACAUUGAUACAGUAUUGCAUGUAUAUAUGUAUUUUGUUUGACAACAUAGCAUACAUUGACAUUGUUUUGUCCGGAAAAGAAUAAAAAAUAAGUUUCUAGCUGA